rfam:Azospirillum sp. CAG:260 genomic scaffold, scf91
ACAGGCAGUCGGAUAGCUGCGCCCGGGAAAGGAAAAUCCAGGGGUGAGGAAAGUCCGGGCUUCAAGGAAACGGAAUACCAGAUAACGUCUGGCUGGAGUAAUCCAAGGGAAAGUGCCACAGAAAAUAACCGCCGGUUUCGGCCGGUAAGGAUGAAAAGGCGAGGUAAGAGCUCACCGCAGCGGCAGUAAUGUCGUCUGGUCAGGGCAAACCCUGUUCGAAGCAAGACCAAGUUAGGAGGGCUGCGUUUGCAGUUAUGACGGAGGGUUUCCACUCUGCUCCAGAGGUAGGUCGCACUGAGCACGCCGGUGACGUCGUGCCGAGAUGAAUAGCUAUCCCUCGUUUACGAGGACAGAACCCGGCUUACAGAUUGCCUGUGUAG